rnacentral:rRNA from 1 species
GACGUAGGAUCCGAGCGUUGUCCGGAGUUACUGGGCGUAAAGCGCGCGCAGGCGGACCGAUACAUCGGCGGUGAAAGCCCCCGCUUAACGGGGGAGGGUCCGUCGAGAUGGACUGACUGGAGGCAGGGAGAGGGCGGUGGAAUUCCGGGUGUAGUGGUGAAAUGCGUAGAGAUCCGGAGGAACACCAGUGGCGAAGGCGGCCGGCCCUGG